rnacentral:rRNA from 1 species
AGAUUGAACGCUGGCGGCAGGCCUAACACAUGCAAGUCGAGCGGUAGAGAGGUGCUUGCAUCUCUUGAGAGCGGCGGACGGGUGAGUAAUGCCUAGGAAUCUGCCUAGUGGUGGGGGAUAACGUUCGGAAACGGACGCUAAUACCGCAUACGUCCUACGGGAGAAAGCGGGGGACCUUCGGGCCUCGCGCCAUUAGAUGAGCCUAGGUCGGAUUAGCUAGUUGGUGAGGUAAUGGCUCACCAAGGCGACGAUCCGUAACUGGUCUGAGAGGAUGAUCAGUCACACUGGAACUGAGACACGGUCCAGACUCCUACGGGAGCAGCAGUGGGGAAUAUUGGACAAUGGGCGAAAGCCUGAUCCAGCAAUGCCGCGUG